rnacentral:rRNA from 1 species
GACGAACGCUGGCGGUGUGCUUAACACAUGCAAGUCGAACGGAAAGGCCCUGCUUUUUUGGGGUGCUCGAGUGGCGAUCGGGUGAGUAACACGUGAGUAACCUGCUCUUGACUUUGGUAUAACUUCAGGUAACUGGGGCUAAUACCGGAUAGGAGCCCCUGUUGCAUGGAGGGGGUUGGAAAGUUUCGGCGGUUGGGGAUGGACUGGCGGCUUUACAGUUUGUUGGUGGGGUAGUGGCUUACCAAGGCUUUGGCGGGUAGCCGGCCUGGGAGGGUGACCGGGCACCAUGGGACUAAGGGACGGCCCAGAGUCCUACAGGGGGCAACGGUGGGGAAUAUUGCACAAUGGGCGGGAGCCUGAUGAAGAAACGCCGCGGGUGGAAAGACGGCCUUCGGGUUGUAAACCGCUUUCGCCUGUGACGAAGCGUGAGUGACGGUAAUGGGUAAAGAAGCACCGGCUAACUACGUG